AUCCAGCACCGUGCUGACAUCGACACCUUAGACCCGCCCCCUGCCCACGCACUGACGGACAUUCGUUCCCAGGCAGAGCUGGGUGGAGCCAGGGCUGGGCUACCACGUAGGGGUGAAAACUCCUCCUCAGAGCGUCGUAUUAACCGUUUGGAAUGUUCCAUCGGCUGGCGUCCCCCGCCCGCCCGGGUGUGGUACCGCCCUGAGGUGAAAGGGAAGGGAAAACUUAUAAUGGCAGCAGGCUGUAAAAGAGACGCAGUUUGGGAAUAUUUUAAUGAAGUUCCUCUACCUGUGGGUAAAACAGGCAUGCAUGCAGACAGUGCAACAAAGAAAUGCAAGGCCUGGUUGCCCGAAUAAAACUACAUCAUGAGAAGUGAUAUGAAAGGAACAUGUUUGAACAUGCAGGAUCUUCAGGAGAAUCCAUCCUCAACAUACAGGAUGAGGACUAUCCACCUUCAAUAUCACCAUCAUUUUCUAUAGUUUCAGAGUUAUCUACCAAUGACAGUGUUUCAGUCACAUCAUGUAUUUCACAUAGCCACAGUAUAUCACCUGUAUCAAAAAGAAAAAAAAAAUCUCCAUCAUCCAGAAACAACCAGAGAUAAAUUGUGAUAAGAACCAGCAGAUUACAAAAAAAGGAAAUUGAUGAAAAAAUUGCCCGGUUUGUUUAUGCAACAAACUCUCCUUUCUGUAUGAUUGAGAACCCACAGUUCAAUAACAUGGUUCAAUCAUUAAGACCGGGAUACAGUCCACCCAACAGAGCAGAUGUCGCAGGCAAAUUGCUGGAUAAAGUGUAUGAAAGAGAAAUUGAGCAGUGUGCAAAAGAUCUAGAGGGUGAAAUUGUUAACCUGAGUCUUGAUGGGUGGAGCAGUGUCCACAAUGAUCCUGUUGUACGUGCUUGUGUGACAACAGAAGAAGGGAAUGUCUUCCUUACAGAAACAAUUGAUACAUCAGGAAAUGCACACAGCUAUAACAAACUGUGAAAAAAUAUUCAAAUGUCUGGUAUGCAGCUUGAUCACAGACAAUGCUGCAAAUGUAUCCAAGAUGAGAAGAAAUUAUUUAGAAGAGAGUCCCAAGCUAAUAACAUAUGGUUGCAGUGCUCAUUUGAUGCACCUCCUAGCCAAAGACUUCAGUGUUCCAGAAAUAAAGGCUAAUGUUAGAAUUGCAAAAUACUUCCAUAACAACCACUUUGCAGCAGCUGCUCUGAAGAAAUUGGGAGGAACCAAGCUAACUCUCCCACAAGACAUGCGAUGGAACUCAGUAGUGGACUGUUUUGUGUACUAUAUCAAGAACUGGCCUAAUCUGAUGACAGUUUGUGAACAAAAUAAUGAAAAAAUAGAUGGCACGGUCACAGCCGAAGUUCUCAACAUUGGGCUUAAGAGAAAUGUUGAACUCAUGCUGAGUACCCUGAAGCCUAUUUCUGUAGCCUUGAACAAAAUGCAGGGAAAUGGCUGUUUUAUUACUGACACUGUUGAAAUUUGGAAGGAACUGACUGAGAUCUUAAAAAGAGAAAUAUGCAAUGAAAGAGUUAAAUUAAACAACCAUUAAAAAAACAAAUGGGACAAGCACUAUCUCCAGCUCAUUUUCUUGCAAAUAGUCUCAAUACUUGGUACCAGGGUCAAACCUUAACUGCUGAAGAAGAGGAGUUGGCUAUAACAUGGACAUCCAGCAAUCAUCUCUCCAUAAUGCCAACUAUAAUAAACUUUCAGAGUUACAGAUGACCCAUUCAAGAAAUAUAUGUUUGCUGAUGAUGUUUUAAAGAAAGUCACACCAGUGAACUGGUGGAAGUCACUUAAGCACUUGGAUUCAGAGACUAUUGAAGUGAUAGUCUCACUUUUAACAGCAGUAGCUUCUUCUGCCAGUGUAGAAAUAAUAUUUUCUUCCUUUGGACUAAUUCGUUCCAAAUUGAGAAAUCGUUUGGGACCUGAAAAAGCAGGAAAGCUUGUUUUUCUUUUCCAGAUUAUGAACAAACAGGAAAAUGAAGUUGAAGACGACUGAGUUAGCUGCAGAAGCCAAUAUUUUAAGUUUCUCAUGUUGACUUGUCUGACAUAGUUGAUUUAAUUUUUUUUUUUAAAUAUUUCAUUUAACUAUUUUAGUUAUAAGCAAUUUUAACAAAAACAAACCUGAUUUUAAAAAACUUGAAUGUUUAACUAAAUUAAACAAAUCAUAUGCUUGUUUUCUUAAAAUAUUCUAUGUUUGCUGUUGAAGAAAAAAAUCCAGAAUACAUAACAUUGUUGUUUUAGUUAAAUAAAACAAUUUAAAUGUCUGUCUGGUGAUGUCCUCCUCCUAAUACAGCAUGGCAAGAAAAUCCUCCAAAUAUUAAUUAUUAACCUGUUGAAUUGGAUGUAGUUCACCUGUCAAUGACUUCAUAAAUAUCUGCUUCAGUUACCUUUGGUAAAUGAAAAAACCAAACAAUUAUUCAUUUUCUGAUACAGCUGUAAAGCUAAUCUGAAAAGUUUUCAAAAUAAAUCACUUUUAAAAUGUA